rnacentral:rRNA from 1 species
UAUAAGACUGGGAUAACUUCGGGAAACCGGAGCUAAUACCGGAUAACAUUUGGAACCGCAUGGUUCUAAAGUGAAAGAUGGUUUUGCUAUCACUUAUAGAUGGACCCGCGCCGUAUUAGCUAGUUGGUAAGGUAACGGCUUACCAAGGCGACGAUACGUAGCCGACCUGAGAGGGUGAUCGACCACACUGGAACUGAGACACGGUCCAGACUCCUACGGGAGGCAGCAGUAGGGAAUCUUCCGCAAUGGGCGAAAGCCUGACGGAGCAACGCCGCGUGAGUGAUGAAGGUCUUCGGAUCGUAAAACUCUGUUAUUAGGGAAGAACGAAUGUGUAAGUAACUGUGCACGUCUUGACGGUACCUAAUCAGAAAGCCACGGCUAACUACGUGCCAGCAGCCGCGGUAAUACGUAGGUGGCAAGCGUUAUCCGGAAUUAUUGGGCGUAAAGCGCGCGUAGGCGGUUUCUUAAGUCUGAUGUGAAAGCCCACGGCUCAGCCGUGGAGGGUCAUUGGAAACUGGGAAACUUGAGUGCAGAAGGGGAAAGUGGAAUUCCAUGUGUAGCGGUGAAAUGCGCAGAGAUAUGGAGGAACACCAGUGGCGAAGGCGACUUUCUGGUCUGUAACUGACGCUGAUGUGCGAAAGCGUGGGGAUCAAACAGGAUUAGAUACCCUGGUAGUCCACGCCGUAAACGAUGAGUGCUAAGUGUUAGGGGGUUUCCGCCCCUUAGUGCUGCAGCUAACGCAUUAAGCACUCCGCCUGGGGAGUACGACCGCAAGGUUGAAACUCAAAG